rnacentral:rRNA from 1 species
GGCUGCGGUUAUUAAGGUAGGCGACAAGUGUUGAUAAACAUUUAUUGGGUGUAACAGCGCGCGCUGGUGGUUUAGUUAAUCUGAUGUGAAACCCCGUGUCUCACCCGAGGAUCUCAUACAAGUGGAAGACCUGACUGCAGAAGAGGAUUAGAGCCACUUGCGUGUGUCGCGAAUUAUUGCCCUAUUUAUAUGGAAGCAACCAGCAGUGGCGAUGGCGUCUUUUCUGGUUCAGUAUCUCACAGUGAGGCGUGACAGUGUGGGGAGCAAACGGGGUCUGAUACCUUGGUAGUACGCGCCGUCAGCGAGAGUUUUAAGUGCAAGAGUUUCUCAUACCUUUAGUGAAGAAGUUAACACAUUGAGCACUCCGCGGGGGGAGUACGGCCGCAAGGGUGAAAUUCAAGGGAAUUGGCGGGGGCCCGCACAAGCGGUGGAUCUUGUGGUUUAAUUCGAAGCAACGAGAAGAACCUUACCAGCUCUUGACAUCCUGUGACAACCCAGAGAUAGGGCUUCUCCUUCGGGAGCAGAGAGACAGGUGGUGCAUGGUUGUCGUCAGCUUGUGUCGUGAGAUGUUGGGUUAAGUCCCGCAACGAGCGCAACCCUUGAUUUUAGUUGCCAUCAUUUAGUUGGGCACUCUAAGGUGACUGCCGGUGACAAACCGGAGGAAGGUGGGGAUGACGUCAAAUCAUCAUGCCCCUUAUGACCUGGGAUACACACGUGCUACAAUGGACGGUACAAAGAGCUGCAAGACCGCGAGGUGGAGCUAAUCUCAUAAAACCGUUCUCAGUUCGGAUUGUAGGUUGCAACUCGCAAUACAUGAAGCGGAAUCGCUAGUAAUCGCAGGAUUCAAACAGUCCUGUUUGGGC